CCUGUUCAAGAUUCCUUUCUAAAAGACUUUGGAUAUAAUUAAACAAAAGGAAACUUACCCAGAAAGGAAGACAGACUGCUAGGUACACAAGCCAUAUAAUACCUUGUAGGGGUUUAUUUGCUAAAUUUGGAAUUGUGGAACUUUGACGCAUAAAGUGCAAAAUUGAAUCCAAAACAUUUGAGAGUAGUUGGAGAAUUUUUCCAAUACAGAAAUUUUG